AGACUAUUCUUUUCUCGUUGAAUUGUCUUGCACUCUUGUCAGAAAUCAUUUGACCAUAAGCAGUGUGGAUUUUAUGCUGAGUGGGAUGGGCAGACUUUGAGGAAUUUGGGUCAAGGCAGUGGUGCUAUUUCCCUUCUAUUUUUACAAAGACCCCUUUGGCUUCGAGUGUUGAAUGAACAGGGAGUCAGGGGUAGGAAUGGGGAGACCAGUGAAGGGGACUACCAUGUUAGUCUGGGCAGGAGAUUGCGGUGGUUCUGGGUUGGUAAUAAGGAGUGGUUUUCGCCAGGACAGGCUUUACAUUGUUGAGCAGGCACAAAUGUGGGGUGAGCCACCUCUGGAGGUUUAUUUGGGAUUUCUCCCUUGGGCAGGACUCACAGAUUUCAAGCCCGGCUACUGGAUUGGCAUCCGCUAUGAUGAGCCACUAGGGAAAAACGAUGGCAGUGUGAAUGGGAAACGCUACUUCGAAUGCCAGGCCAAGUACGGUGCCUUCGUCAAGCCAUCAUUUGUGACAGUGGGGGACUUCCCUGAAGAGGACUACGGGUUGGAUGAGAUGUGACACUCAAGAAAGGACAUCCUGCCCCAGCUAACUUGCCCACUUAUUGCCCAUCCCUAUGUGUGCCCGUGGCCCUCUUCCCCGCACCCCAUUUUUAUUUUAUUUACUUUGUCCUUGUCAUUGACUUUUGAGACUUGAGUAUUAAAUUUGCCGGAACCGGAA